rnacentral:misc_RNA from 1 species
AUCAAAAUGGCAAUCAUGUGAUACAGAAGUGUAUUGAGAGCAUUCCAACAGAGAAAAUUGGCUUCAUAAUUUCUGCAUUUCGUAGUCAUGUUGCAGCACUUUCUAUGCAUCCUUAUGGUUGCCGUGUCAUACAGAGAGUUCUAGAGCGCUGUACAGAUGAGCUGCAAUGUCAGUUUAUAGUUGAUGAGAUUUUGGAUUCUGUCUGUGAACUUGCUCAGGAUCAGUAUGGCAAUUAUGUGACUCAGCAUGUGUUGGAGAGAGGAAAAUCUCAAGAAAGAUGCCAAAUUAUUAGCAAGUUGUCAGGGCAUGUUGUACAACUGAGCCAACAUAAAUUUGCAUCUAAUGUUGUUGAGAAAUGUUUGGAGUAUGGUGGUGCCACUGAACGGGAGCUAAUAAUUGAGGAAAUUCUUGGGCAGAAUGAGGGUAAUGAUAAUUUAUUGGUAAUGAUGAAGGACCAGUUUGCAAAUUAUGUUGUCCAGAAGAUUCUUGAUACAUGUACUGAUACACAGCGAGAAAUGUUGCUUAAUCGCAUAAAAACACAUGUGCAUGCUCUGAAGAAAUAUACUUACGGGAAGCACAUUGUUGCUCGGUUUGAACAGCAAUUUGGAGAAGAGAAUCAAACAUCUUGAUCGUGAUUCAUACAUUGGGAAUCAUCUUUAGAGGCAUCUGAAUGUGUCGCAACGAGAUUUCGCCGG